rnacentral:rRNA from 1 species
UUUUUUUCUUUCUUUUUUUCCGGUCCGGAAGUCCUUCUUCUCUUGCCUGCCGGUCUGCCCAGUAGCGGGAGGGAUUUUAAGGAUUGGGAUGAGGGGCUUAAGGCGGCGGCCGAGUGCGAGGAAGGCGGGGGUCUAGGGUUUAGGUUAACUUCGAGGUCAGAAGAGGAUAAACCAGCAGCUAACUGGUUAGCCUUAGGUACCGCUGUCGACGGCAGGAACGCUCGGCGCUCCCGUUCCCGGCGGUGAUAUAGGGUUCGAGGCAGUAUGAGCUGGAGAAACCGGUUUAGCCGGGGUCGGCGUUGCGGUGGUGGCGGUGCAGGUUCUGCUCAUGGCCGGACGGGUAGCGCCACUGAAAGACGCGGCGGGCGGGCGGUCAGGAGAGCGUGAAGAGGAAGUCGUCGCGCCGUACGGGCCUUGGGCUCCCAAACAGGGACCGCGGGUUCCAGUAGUCGCGCCUACGACUGGAGCAAGAGGAGGCGCAGGGGCAGGUUGGGAAACCGCUGAGAUUAGGCUACAAAUCGCUGAUGAAGCAGAUGUCCCGCGUGAGGGUUUAGGGUUUCGACCUGGACGAGGGCUUCAGACGAGGUAUAAUGAAACCUCUAUUCCUCUAGCGGUAUGACUCGACGCCGCUGCCGUUCAUGCGACACCGGAGGGAAGUUUGGAACCCAUACACAUGGAAAUUCGAAGUGCACAUGGCCAGAUCUGGACUACCGUUCGGUCCCUCAACCUGGAGGUUCGACGACCUACAUCUCGACUUACACUUCCUCGACGGCUCCCUGUUGAGCAGGAGCUAGAGAGAGCGUAGCGUCUACGAAUGCAUAGUAGCCUGUUGUUUCCACUAGUGCGAACCACCACGAUUUCCAUGGCAACCGACCCAGCUAGAGACCGCUCCGUAGGAAGAGACGCUGCACGACCUUUAAUCGGGGUGCGAGGCACUGCACGGAGACGGAAGACAGAGAUUCUCACUAACCUCCAAUAAGGAACUGACGACGGGGAUGAUAAAGGCACUGUAGUAACAGCUGGUCUCGUUUUCGUGAUAGUUCAUACAGUUCUACUUGGACGUGCCACCACGGACCUCCCGGUGGUGUACCUCGUACGGAUAGGGCCAGUGAAGUAACUUACCGACCGUUAAAGUUACGAGGCGGGACAGCUGACUCUAACUAUAAGGACGACUACAGUUUUCCGUAAUAUUCGACAACGUAUUCGAGUACUCGCCUUCGCGGUUGUUCCUCCCCUUACGACGUCUCCUUCAGAACAGGGACCUUAGAGAUGCGUACCGAAUGGGAUGGAACUCGUAGUGCCUACCACUACUAUAACAAAUGAACAACCGGUUCCCGUGGCCGUACUCCCGAUACGGCUGUCAUAAGAGACAACUAGAGUCAUACGCCUGAGACGCUCCUCACCGCUUCGAUGGGUUCUCCGUGGAACCAAAAUACGCGAUGAAGGAACGGUCACCUUAGAGGUUUGUAUAGUCCUGAGGUCCAUCUUCACUAAGGGAACCCGUUUGACUCCACGUUCUAUGCUUAUGAACACCAGUUCUUUCGUUUUCACUGAGGCAACUCGUUUGACUCCACGUUCUACGCUUAUGAACACUAGCUCUUUCACCCAAACGAACUAACUUCCACAAUACCUCAAUCUAACGACACGGAACUUUGGACCCCCGUUCGAAACGACCUCUCUCAAUAAGUAUAUCUAUGUGACAUUUCUAUAAAUAGAACCGAAACAAAUGUCAUGGAAUCGCCGACAACAACGCUCAUUUAUAUGGUCGCCCGUUGAUUUGGACGAACCCACAGUAAAUCUAGGAUGUAGAAAUAAAACACUCAACAUACAGGCACUUGUACGUUUCACCGUAUGGUCACCGUUGAGAAUAUUUCGACGACUACACACCUACGAUUGUGGCGUAUAAACGGUAAAAAGUGUGUAAUUAAUGGUCGUGAUAGCCCCGUCCCAAACAGUAACUAAUCCG